GGGCUGCGCGUGCUAUACAUGCAGUCGAGCGAACAGAGAAGGAGCUUGCUCCUUUGACGUUAGCGGCGGACGGGUGAGUAACACGUGGGCAACCUACCCUAUAGUUUGGGAUAACUCCGGGAAACCGGGGCUAAUACCGAAUAAUCUAUUGUCCCUCAUGAGACAAUACUGAAAGACGGUUUCGGCUGUCGCUAUAGGAUGGGCCCGCGGCGCAUUAGCUAGUUGGUGAGGUAACGGCUCACCAAGGCGACGAUGCGUAGCCGACCUGAGAGGGUGAUCGGCCACACUGGGACUGAGACACGGCCCAGACUCCUACGGGAGGCAGCAGUAGGGAAUCUUCCACAAUGGGCGAAAGCCUGAUGGAGCAACGCCGCGUGAGUGAAGAAGGAUUUCGGUUCGUAAAACUCUGUUGUAAGGGAAGAACAAGUACAGUAGUAACUGGCUGUACCUUGACGGUACCUUAUUAGAAAGCCACGGCUAACUACGUGCCAGCAGCCGCGGUAAUACGUAGGUGGCAAGCGUUGUCCGGAAUUAUUGGGCGUAAAGCGCGCGCAGGUGGUUUCUUAAGUCUGAUGUGAAAGCCCACGGCUCAACCGUGGAGGGUCAUUGGAAACUGGGAGACUUGAGUGCAGAAGAGGAUAGUGGAAUUCCAAGUGUAGCGGUGAAAUGCGUAGAGAUUUGGAGGAACACCAGUGGCGAAGGCGACUAUCUGGUCUGUAACUGACACUGAGGCGCGAAAGCGUGGGGAGCAAACAGGAUUAGAUACCCUGGUAGUCCACGCCGUAAACGAUGAGUGCUAAGUGUUAGGGGGUUUCCGCCCCUUAGUGCUGCAGCUAACGCAUUAAGCACUCCGCCUGGGGAGUACGGUCGCAAGACUGAAACUCAAAGGAAUUGACGGGGGGCCCGCACAAGCGGUGGAGCAUGUGGUUUUAUUUCGAAGCAACGCGGAGAACCAUUACCAGGUCUUGACAUUCCCGUUGACCACUGUAGAGAUAUGUGUUUUCCUUCCGGGCACACGGUGAACAGUGGUGCAUGGUUGUCGUUCGUCUCGGUCGUGAGAUGUUGGGUAAGGUUCCCGCUAUCUAUCUCAACCCGUGGAUCUUUAGUUUGCCAU
rnacentral:rRNA from 1 species